rnacentral:lncRNA from 1 species
CCGCUCCGCAGCGCAGCGCAUGGAGCCCGGCGGGGACCACCGGAGCCGGAGCAGCGGCGGCAGGGGCGGCCCCGGGCCAGCAGUGGCCUCGGCACGGGGCCGACGGCUGCCGCCCGCCGGAUCGAGCGGCAGCGCGGAGCCAGAGGAAGACGAAGGCGACUAGCCUGGAUCCAGCGCUGGAAGGAUGCUUAGAGACCAGCCAGCUAGCCAGUGUCGUUGCAGACAAAGAAGCUCAGGCCCAGAGUGCGGACAUGACCUAUCAAAGGUCACAGAGCAAGUUACCAGUGAAGCCAGGACUUGAACCCAGGCCUAUGACUCCGAAGCCAGUGGAUUCUAUGGAUCUACUUAAAUAAAAACUAAAACAAAAAA